GAUGAACGCUAGCGGCAGGCCUAAUACAUGCAAGUCGAGGGGUAGAAGAGGCUUGCUUCUUUGAGACCGGCGCACGGGUGCGUAACGCGCAUGCAACCUACCUUCAUCUGGGGGAUAGCCCGGAGAAAUCCGGAUUAAUACCGCAUAAAAUCACAGGAUGGCAUUAUCCAAUGAUCAAACAUUUAUGGGAUGGAGAUGGGCAUGCGUGUCAUUAGCUAGUUGGCGGGGUAACGGCCCACCAAGGCGACGAUGACUAGGGGAUCUGAGAGGAUGGCCCCCCACACUGGAACUGAGACACGGACCAGACUCCUACGGGAGGCAGCAGUAAGGAAUAUUGGUCAAUGGAGGCAACUCCGAACCAGCCAUGCCGCGUGCAGGAAGACUGCCCUAUGGGUUGUAAACUGCUUUUAUUCGGGAAUAAACCUUAUUACGUGUAAUAAGCUGAAUGUACCGAAGGAAUAAGGAUCGGCUAACUCCGUGCCAGCAGCCGCGGUAA
rnacentral:rRNA from 1 species